UUGAAAGGGAAACGAUUGAAGUCAGUCGUGCUGGCGCGAAAUCAACCUUCUCGUCGAGAGAUCGCAUGGCGUGGCGAGCCUCAAAACCGUCGCGAAGCGUGAACUCUUGGUGAAAUGGAGCACUUUCGUGUCCGCUGGUUAACAUCAAUUUCGAUCGUCAUAAAAAGGCUGGAGGGAUGUGGCUCCUUCGGGAGUGUAUACCUUUAGCGGAAUGUGGUGGUCGGGAUUGAGGAUUGCAACGAAUACCUUAGGGCUGUCCACCUGGCUCUCAUUGGCAUCCUGGUGACGACAGCUUGCUGACGUCGUUAGGAUUCGCCUUUGAACAGGUUAGAGUGUGAGCAAAUUCGUUAAGGAUGUUGACGUA
rnacentral:rRNA from 1 species